rnacentral:rRNA from 1 species
ACAGGGAUUGCCCUAGUACGGCGAGUGAAGCGGCAUCAGCUCAAAUUUGAAAUCUGGCUCUUUCAGGGUCCGAGUUGUAAUUUGCAGAGGGCGCUUUGGUGUUGGCAGCGGUCCAAGUUCCUUGGAACAGGACGUCACAGAGGGUGAGAAUCCCGUACGUGGUCGCUGGCCUUCGCCGUGUAAAGCCCCUUCGACGAGUCGAGUUGUUUGGGAAUGCAGCUCUAAAUGGGAGGUAAAUUUCUUCUAAAGCUAAAUACUGGCCAGAGACCGAUAGCGCACAAGUAGAGUGAUCGAAAGAUGAAAAGCACUUUGGAAAGAGAGUCAAAUAGCACGUGAAAUUGUUGAAAGGGAAGCGCUUGCAGCCAGACUUGCCUGUAGUUGCUCAUCUAGGCUCUUUGCCUAGUGCACUCUUCUGCGGGCAGGCCAGCAUCAGUCUAGGCGGUUGGAUAAAGGCCUCUGUCAUGUACCUCCUCUCGGGGAGGCCUUAUAGGGGAGGCGUAAUGCAACCAGCCUGGACUGAGGUCCGCGCAUCUGCUAGGAUGCUGGCGUAAUGGCUGUAAGCGGCCCGUCUUGAAACACGGACCAAGGAGUCUAACAUCUAUGCGAGUGUUUGGGUGUCAAGCCCGAGCGCGUAAUGAAAGUGAACGGAGGUGGGAUCCCUUUAGGGUGCACCAUCGACCGAUCCUGAUGUCUUCGGAUGGAUUUGAGUAAGAGCAUGGCUGUUGGGACCCGAAAGAUGGUGAACUAUGCUUGAAUAGGGUGAAGCCAGAGGAAACUCUGGUGGAGGCUCGCAGCGGUUCUGACGUGCAAAUCGAUCGUCAAAUUUGGGCAUAGGGGCGAAAGACUAAUCGA